rnacentral:tRNA from 1 species
AGAAAUUUAAGUUAACUAAACUAAAGGCCUUCAAAGCCUUAAACAAAGGUUCAAGUCCUUUAAUUUCUG